AUGACCCUUAAUCAAGGUCGGUAGUUUUCUGAAGCUGUUGGUUUCAAGCAGGAGCCUAAAGAGAUAUCUUUCUAUGGUCUUUUGGCCAUUUCAGAACUUUACAAAUGUAAUUUUCAAUUCAUUAGAAAAAAAAAAAA
ensembl:snoRNA small nucleolar RNA SNORA2/SNORA34 family